rnacentral:rRNA from 1 species
UGAGGAAUCUUGCGCAAUGGGGGAAACCCUGACGCAGCAACGCCGCGUGAGUGAAGAAGGCCUUCGGGUCGUAAAGCUCUGUCAGAUGGGAAGAAAUUGAUGGGGGCUAAUAUCGUCCAUCCUUGACGGUACCAUCAGAGGAAGCACCGGCUAACUCCGUGCCAGCAGCCGCGGUAAUACGGGGGGUGCAAGCGUUGUUCGGAAUCAUUGGGCGUAAAGCGCGCGCAGGCGGCUUGGUAAGUCAGAUGUGAAAUCCCUGGGCUUAACCCAGGAAGUGCAUUUGAUACUGCCUCGCUAGAGUACGGGAGAGGAAAGUGGAAUUCCUGGUGUAGAGGUGAAAUUCGUAGAUAUCAGGAGGAACACCGGUGGCGAAGGCGACUUUCUGGCCCGAUACUGACGCUGAGGUGCGAAAGCCGGGGGAGCGAACG